rnacentral:misc_RNA from 1 species
GGGACCGUGGGGUUAAAGGAACAGGGUACCUACGGUUUUGCACGUUACUACUUUUACCAAUAUCAUUAACAUUCGGAUCCAUAACGCAGUCUUUCUCUUCGGCUUCAGGGUUUUGAAGGGCAGUCCUGGAAGAAGACCAGGAUGCGGAGCGCCAGAACAUUUUGCGGGACCCAGCAGCGGAGGGAAGCCGGGGCGAAUCCAGAGGAUUCCCAUUCCCUUCACCCACCAUUCCACUCCACUUCAAAAAGUUUAAAAAAACG